UGCAUGGGGCGAGCCUGACGGAGCACGCCGCGUGAGGGAUGAAGGCCUCUGGGCUGUAAACCUCUUUUAUCAAGGAAGAAGAUCUGACGGUACUUGAUGAAUAAGCCACGGCUAAUUCCGUGCCAGCAGCCGCGGUAAUACGGGAGUGGCAAGCGUUAUCCGGAAUUAUUGGGCGUAAAGCGUCCGCAGGCGGUCUGUCAAGUCUGCUGUUAAAGCGUGGAGCUUAACUCCAUUUCGGCAGUGGAAACUGACAGACUAGAGUGUGGUAGGGGCAGAGGGAAUUCCCGGUGUAGCGGUGAAAUGCGUAGAUAUCGGGAAGAACACCAGUGGCGAAGGCGCUCUGCUGGGCCAUAACUGACGCUCAUGGACGAAAGCCAGGGGAGCGAAAGGGAUUAGAUACCCCUGUAGUCCUGGCCGUAAACGAUGAACACUAGGUGUCGGGGGAAUCGACCCCCUCGGUGUCGUAGCCAACGCGUUAAGUGUUCCGCCUGGGGAGUACGCACGCAAGUGUGAAACUCAAAGGAAUUGACGGA
rnacentral:rRNA from 1 species